rnacentral:rRNA from 1 species
GAUGAACGCUGGCGGCGUGCCUAAUACAUGCAAGUCGAGCGAACAGACGAGGAGCUUGCUCCUCUGACGUUAGCGGCGGACGGGUGAGUGACACGUGGAUAACCUACCUAUAAGACUGGGAUAACUUCGGGAAACCGGAGCUAAUACCGGAUAAUAUAUUGAACCGCAUGGUUCAAUAGUGAAAGACGGUUUUGCUGUCACUUAUAGAUGGAUCCGCGCCGCAUUAGCUAGUUGGUAAGGUAACGGCUUACCAAGGCGACGAUGCGUAGCCGACCUGAGAGGGUGAUCGGCCACACUGGAACUGAGACACGGUCCAGACUCCUACGGGAGGCAGCAGUAGGGAAUCUUCCGCAAUGGGCGAAAGCCUGACGGAGCAACGCCGCGUGAGUGAUGAAGGUCUUCGGAUCGUAAAACUCUGUUAUUAGGGAAGAACAAAUGUGUAAGUAACUAUGCACGUCUUGACGGUACCUAAUCAAAAAGCCACGGCUAACUACGUG